rnacentral:rRNA from 1 species
GGUAGGAUAGAGGCCUACCAUGGUGGUAACGGGUAACGGGGUGUUAGGGCACGACACCGGAGAGGGAGCCUGAGAAACGGCUACCACAUCCAAGGAAGGCAGCAGGCGCGCAAAUUACCCAAUCCCGACACGGGGAGGUAGUGACAAUAAAUAACAAUACAGGGUUCUUUUGGAUCUUGUAAUUGGAAUGAGUACAAUUUAAAUCUCUUAACGAGGAACAAUUGGAGGGCAAGUUUGGUGCCAGCAGCCGCGGUAAUUCCAGCUCCAAUAGCGUAUAUUAAAGUUGUUGCAGUUAAAAAGCUCGUAGUUGAAUUUCGGGAUCAAUAUUUCGGUCAUGCCGUUGGUAUGCACUGUUAUCAUUGAUUUCUCACCUUCUAAAGAACCGUAAUGCCAUUAAUUUGGUGUUACGGGGAAUUAGGACUGUUACCUUGAAAAAAUUAGAGUGUUUAAAGCAGGCUCACGCUUGAAUACAUUAGCAUGGAAUAAUGAAAUAGGACAUCCGAUUCUAUUUUGUUGGUUUCUAGGAUCGAUGUAAUGAUUAAUAGGGAUAGUUGGGGGCAUUAGUACUCAAUUGUCAGAGGUGAAAUUCUUGGAUUUAUUGAAGACUAACUACUGCGAAAGCAUUUGCCAAGGAUGUUUUCAUUAAUCAAGAACGAAAGUUAGGGGAUCGAAGACGAUCAGAUACCGUCGUAGUCUUAACCAUAAACUAUGCCGACUAGGGAUCGGAUGAUGUUAAUUUUUUAAUGACUCAUUCGGCGCCUUACGGGAAACCAAAGUGUUUGGGUUC